AGAGUUUGAUCCUGGCUCAGAAUCAACGCUGGCGGCGCGCCUAACACAUGCAAGUCGAACGAGAAAGUCCGCAAGGAUGAGUAAAGUGGCGUACGGGUGAGUAACACGUGGAUAACCUGCCCUUUAGUGGGGAAUACCGCUGGGAAACCGGCGACAAUACCGCAUAAGCUCGAGAGAGGAAAGCAGCAAUGCGCUGAAGGAGGGGUCCGCGGCCGAUUAGCUAGUUGGCAGGGUAAAAGCCUACCAAGGCUGUGAUCGGUAGCCGGCCUGAGAGGGCACACGGCCACACUGGCACUGAAACACGGGCCAGACUCCUACGGGAGGCAGCAGUGGGGAAUCUUGCACAAUGGGGGAAACCCUGAUGCAGCGACGCCGCGUGAGCGAUGAAGCCCUUCGGGGUGUAAAGCUCUUUCGGCAGGGACGAUUAUGACGGUACCUGCAGAAGCAGCUGCGGCUAACUACGUGCCAGCAGCCGCGGUAAUACGUAGGCAGCAAGCGUUGUUCGGAGUUACUGGGCGUAAAGGGUGCGUAGGCGGCUUCUUAAGUCCGGUGUGAAAUCUCCCGGCUCAACUGGGAGGGUGCGCUGGAUACUGAGGGGCUAGAGUGUGGGAGAGGAAAGUGGAAUUCCUGGUGUAGCGGUGAAAUGCGUAGAUAUCAGGAGGAACACCGGUGGUGUAAACGGCUUUCUGGACCAUAACUGACGCUGAGGCACGAAAGCGUGGGUAGCAAACAGGAUUAGAUACCCUGGUAGUCCACGCCCUAAACGAUGCAUAUUUGGGUGUGGGCCAUUCAUUUGGUCCGUGCCGGAGCUAACGCGUUAAAUAUGCCGCCUGGGGAGUACAGUCGCAAGGCUGAAACUCAAAGGAAUUGACGG
rnacentral:rRNA from 1 species